rnacentral:tRNA from 1 species
GGAGAGGUGGCUCAGGGGUUAAGAGCAUUGACUGCCCUUCUGAAGAUCCUGAGUUCAAAUCCCAGCAACCACA